CUUAUCAGCUCAAAACAGUCCUUAUCCUCCCAACAAGAUAUUCUCUUAUUCAUUCUUGAAGCUUCCAAUGCCAUUCUCUCAUUCUCCCAUGGAAAGCUAAUUUUCUUUCAUUUUCUUUCCUUGUUUUCUUUUCAUUCCUUUUCUCUUCUUGCUUCAUUCUUCUCCCAACUUCUUGUGCACCAAAGCUACAACUUCUAACCUCAAUUUUCAGCACAUCUAAACCCUAGGAGGAGAAGAAAAAAAAAGAGGGAAAGGAAGAAAAAGCUUGGUUUUGGUGAUUCAAGCAAGGAACGGAAGUGCAAGGAUAAGGUUAGAGAUGUGGUGGCGUGCCGGAGUAAAUAACGAGCAAUCGGCCAGUGAAAAUAGUUAGAGACACCUCCGAACAAAUAGCGACUUAAUAUCUCAUUAUUGCCAGAUCAAGGUGAAAAUCAUAUUAAAAGUAGUUGAACUGCUAUAGUUUUUUCACAAGGUAGCAUGAGGAAGUGAAAGCCAUGACCUUGGAAAGAGGAGGCUUCGGCGCCCUUGAUACAGCAUGGAACCAUAGUGGACUAGAGAGCAUGGUGCCACGAUGCUGGUGAGGCAAGGUCAUGGCAUCCUAGCAGAUUGAAGCUCCCAUACAUGAACCCAAGAGUAAGGCGCCACGACGCCUAAAAGGGAAGGCCACAGUGCUCAGAAGUGUUUUGAAGCAUAUGUUUUUAUGGGAAUUUCGAACCUAGGGUUUUUGAGGAGUAUUUAAAAGGCCUUUUUCAGAGGUUUCAAAGAGGAGAUAGAGAGCAACUAUUCUGGAGAAAAAGAAGCCAAAAACAAAGCAAGAAAGCAAAAGAAUUCAAAAAAGAAAUUAGAUUCAAAAGCUUU